rnacentral:rRNA from 1 species
UACAGAGGGUGCGAGCGUUGUCCGGAAUCACUGGGCGUAAAGGGCGCGUAGGUGGUGGCUUAAGCGUGCGGUGAAAGCUCGGAGCUCAACUCCGAGUCGGCCGUGCGAACUGGGCUCACUGGAGCAUAGUAGAGGCAGGUGGAAUUCCGGGUGUAGCGGUGGAAUGCGUAGAGAUCCGGAAGAACACCGGUGGCGAAGGCAGGUCUCUGGGCAUUAACUGACGCUGAGGAGCGAAAGCAUGGGGAGCGAACAGG